rnacentral:rRNA from 1 species
GGUUAAGCGACUAAGCGUACACGGUGGAUGCCCUGGCAGUCAGAGGCGAUGAAGGACGUGCUAAUCUGCGAUAAGCGUCGGUAAGGUGAUAUGAACCGUUAUAACCGGCGAUUUCCGAAUGGGGAAACCCAGUGUGAUUCGACACACUAUCAUUAACUGAAUCCAUAGGUUAAUGAGGCGAACCGGGGGAACUGAAACAUCUAAGUACCCCGAGGAAAAGAAAUCAACCGAGAUUCCCCCAGUAGCGGCGAGCGAACGGGGAGGAGCCCAGAGCCUGAAUCAGUGUGUGUGUUAGUGGAAGCGUCUGGAAAGGCGCGCGAUACAGGGUGACAGCCCCGUACACAAAAAUGCACAUGCUGUGAGCUCGAUGAGUAGGGCGGGACACGUGGUAUCCUGUCUGAAUAUGGGGGGACCAUCCUCCAAGGCUAAAUACUCCUGACUGACCGAUAGUGAACCAGUACCGUGAGGGAAAGGCGAAAAGAACCCCGGCGAGGGGAGUGAAAAAGAACCUGAAACCGUGUACGUACAAGCAGUGGGAGCACGCUUAGGCGUGUGACUGCGUACCUUUUGUAUAAUGGGUCAGCGACUUAUAUUCUGUAGCAAGGUUAACCGAAUAGGGGAGCCGAAGGGAAACCGAGUCUUAACUGGGCGUUAAGUUGCAGGGUAUAGACCCGAAACCCGGUGAUCUAGCCAUGGGCAGGUUGAAGGUUGGGUAACACUAACUGGAGGACCGAACCGACUAAUGUUGAAAAAUUAGCGGAUGACUUGUGGCUGGGGGUGAAAGGCCAAUCAAACCGGGAGAUAGCUGGUUCUCCCCGAAAGCUAUUUAGGUAGCGCCUCGUGAAUUCAUCUCCGGGGGUAGAGCACUGUUUCGGCAAGGGGGUCAUCCCGACUUACCAACCCGAUGCAAACUGCGAAUACCGGAGAAUGUUAUCACGGGAGACACACGGCGGGUGCUAACGUCCGUCGUGAAGAGGGAAACAACCCAGACCGCCAGCUAAGGUCCCAAAGUCAUGGUUAAGUGGGAAACGAUGUGGGAAGGCCCAGACAGCCAGGAUGUUGGCUUAGAAGCAGCCAUCAUUUAAAGAAAGCGUAAUAGCUCACUGGUCGAGUCGGCCUGCGCGGAAGAUGUAACGGGGCUAAACCAUGCACCGAAGCUGCGGCAGCGACGCUGAUGCGUUGUUGGGUAGGGGAGCGUUCUGUAAGCCUGUGAAGGUGUGCUGUGAGGCAUGCUGGAGGUAUCAGAAGUGCGAAUGCUGACAUAAGUAACGAUAAAGCGGGUGAAAAGCCCGCUCGCCGGAAGACCAAGGGUUCCUGUCCAACGUUAAUCGGGGCAGGGUGAGUCGACCCCUAAGGCGAGGCCGAAAGGCGUAGUCGAUGGGAAACAGGUUAAUAUUCCUGUACUUGGUGUUACUGCGAAGGGGGGGACGGAGAAGGCUAUGUUGGCCGGGCGACGGUUGUCCCGGUUUAAGCGUGUAGGCUGGUUUUCCAGGCAAAUCCGGAAAAUCAAGGCUGAGGCGUGAUGACGAGGCACUACGGUGCUGAAGCAACAAAUGCCCUGCUUCCAGGAAAAGCCUCUAAGCAUCAGGUAACAUCAAAUCGUACCCCAAACCGACACAGGUGGUCAGGUAGAGAAUACCAAGGCGCUUGAGAGAACUCGGGUGAAGGAACUAGGCAAAAUGGUGCCGUAACUUCGGGAGAAGGCACGCUGAUAUGUAGGUGAAGUCCCUCGCGGAUGGAGCUGAAAUCAGUCGAAGAUACCAGCUGGCUGCAACUGUUUAUUAAAAACACAGCACUGUGCAAACACGAAAGUGGACGUAUACGGUGUGACGCCUGCCCGGUGCCGGAAGGUUAAUUGAUGGGGUCAGCGCAAGCGAAGCUCUUGAUCGAAGCCCCGGUAAACGGCGGCCGUAACUAUAACGGUCCUAAGGUAGCGAAAUUCCUUGUCGGGUAAGUUCCGACCUGCACGAAUGGCGUAAUGAUGGCCAGGCUGUCUCCACCCGAGACUCAGUGAAAUUGAACUCGCUGUGAAGAUGCAGUGUACCCGCGGCAAGACGGAAAGACCCCGUGAACCUUUACUAUAGCUUGACACUGAACAUUGAGCCUUGAUGUGUAGGAUAGGUGGGAGGCUUUGAAGUGUGGACGCCAGUCUGCAUGGAGCCGACCUUGAAAUACCACCCUUUAAUGUUUGAUGUUCUAACGUUGACCCGUAAUCCGGGUUGCGGACAGUGUCUGGUGGGUAGUUUGACUGGGGCGGUCUCCUCCUAAAGAGUAACGGAGGAGCACGAAGGUUGGCUAAUCCUGGUCGGACAUCAGGAGGUUAGUGCAAUGGCAUAAGCCAGCUUGACUGCGAGCGUGACGGCGCGAGCAGGUGCGAAAGCAGGUCAUAGUGAUCCGGUGGUUCUGAAUGGAAGGGCCAUCGCUCAACGGAUAAAAGGUACUCCGGGGAUAACAGGCUGAUACCGCCCAAGAGUUCAUAUCGACGGCGGUGUUUGGCACCUCGAUGUCGGCUCAUCACAUCCUGGGGCUGAAGUAGGUCCCAAGGGUAUGGCUGUUCGCCAUUUAAAGUGGUACGCGAGCUGGGUUUAGAACGUCGUGAGACAGUUCGGUCCCUAUCUGCCGUGGGCGCUGGAGAACUGAGGGGGGCUGCUCCUAGUACGAGAGGACCGGAGUGGACGCAUCACUGGUGUUCGGGUUGUCAUGCCAAUGGCACUGCCCGGUAGCUAAAUGCGGAAGAGAUAAGUGCUGAAAGCAUCUAAGCACGAAACUUGCCCCGAGAUGAGUUCUCCCUGACUCCUUGAGAGUCCUGAAGGAACGUUGAAGACGACGACGUUGAUAGGCCGGGUGUGUAAGCGCAGCGAUGCGUUGAGCUAACCGGUACUAAUGAACCGUGAGGCUUAACCUU